rnacentral:misc_RNA from 1 species
AACGCACAUUGCGCCCCUUGGUAUUCCAUGGGGCAUGCCUGUUCGAGCGUCAUUUUGUACCCUCAAGCACUGCUUGGUGUUGGGCGUUUGUCCUGCAAAGGACUCGCCUGAAAGCGAUUGGCGGCCAACGUACUGGUGGUAGAGCGCAGCACAAUUUGCGUCUCUCCCCUUCUACGUCGGCGUCCAUGAAGCCUUUUUUCAACGUUUGACCUCGGAUCAGGUAGGGAUACCCGCUGAACUUAA